rfam:Cavia porcellus supercont2_14 genomic scaffold, whole genome shotgun sequence.
GGGUGUGAGGGAAUCUAACUAUAACUUUUAACCUUUUUGACUGCUAGGGUUGGUUAAGCUGACCCAGCUGGCAAUAUGGCAUCCCUUUCCUCACUCACUGUCCUAGUUCUUUCUUUCCUGGUAUUAUGUGUUUCCUAGAGGAGGAUGUCCCUUGACAGAGGAACACUUUGGUCAAUGUUACAUGAGGAGCUAUGCUCACCUGCUAUAAUCACCAAACAAAUUCUCAAAAAUGUAUGGAUGUUUUCAAUUUGACUAAGUAACUGAAUGAGUUUAAGUCUUUUAUAUGUACAAAAUAGUGUUU